rfam:Capsicum annuum cultivar Zunla-1 chromosome 7, whole genome shotgun sequence
UUGUGGUUGGGACAUUGCAUAAGUUUUCCAUUAAAUCUCUCCCACACCUCAUAUAGAGGCUCUCUAUUCAAUUGACAAAAGUUUGUGAUUUUAUCACUCAAUUA